GGAUGUGAGGGUGAUCGGGCUGCGACAUGUGUCACCCCAUUGAUCGCCAGGGUUGAUUCAGUUGAUGUGGCUGGCUAGGUGGGUGUCCCCUUUCUCCCUCACUGAUCCAUGUGCAUCUCUCCCGAAGCUGCUAGCUCGGUUGAAGAGGAUGACCUUCCCCGAAUAGAGGAGGCUCAGUCCUCUUCAGUCAAGGGUAUAUGAGUAGCUCUGCUCCCUUGCUAGAACCUCCAAAACAAGCUCUCAAGUCAUUCUUUCUUUAGUCUUAGAAGCAACUCUGUUUGAAAACAGCCUACAGGUCUUUAAGGCAAUCAAAUCUUUGAACAUGCCAGGUAGGCGUAAUAGAAUU
ensembl:misc_RNA 7SK 7SK RNA